AUUCUGGCUCAGGAUGAACGCUGGCGGCGUGCUUAACACAUGCAAGUCGAACGGGAUCCCAGGAGCUUGCUCCUGGGUGAGAGUGGCGAACGGGUGAGUAAUGCGUGACCGACCUGCCCCAUACACCGGAAUAGCUCCUGGAAACGGGUGGUAAUGCCGGAUGCUCCAGUUGAUCGCAUGGUCUUCUGGGAAAGCUUUCGCGGUAUGGGAUGGGGUCGCGUCCUAUCAGCUUGAUGGCGGGGUAACGGCCCACCAUGGCUUCGACGGGUAGCCGGCCUGAGAGGGCGACCGGCCACAUUGGGACUGAGAUACGGCCCAGACUCCUACGGGAGGCAGCAGUGGGGAAUAUUGCACAAUGGGCGCAAGCCUGAUGCAGCGACGCCGCGUGCGGGAUGACGGCCUUCGGGUUGUAAACCGCUUUUGACUGGGAGCAAGCCCUUCGGGGUGAGUGUACCUUUCGAAUAAGCACCGGCUAACUACGUGCCAGCAGCCGCGGUAAUACGUAGGGUGCAAGCGUUAUCCGGAAUUAUUGGGCGUAAAGGGCUCGUAGGCGGUUCGUCGCGUCCGGUGUGAAAGUCCAUCGCUUAACGGUGGAUCCGCGCCGGGUACGGGCGGGCUUGAGUGCGGUAGGGGAGACUGGAAUUCCCGGUGUAACGGUGGAAUGUGUAGAUAUCGGGAAGAACACCAAUGGCGAAGGCAGGUCUCUGGGCCGUCACUGACGCUGAGGAGCGAAAGCGUGGGGAGCGAACAGGAUUAGAUACCCUGGUAGUCCACGCCGUAAACGGUGGAUGCUGGAUGUGGGGCCCGUUCCACGGGUUCCGUGUCGGAGCUAACGCGUUAAGCAUCCCGCCUGGGGAGUACGGCCGCAAGGCUAAAACUCAAAGAAAUUGACGGGGGCCCGCACAAGCGGCGGAGCAUGCGGAUUAAUUCGAUGCAACGCGAAGAACCUUACCUGGGCUUGACAUGUUCCCGACAGCCGUAGAGAUACGGUCUCCCUUCGGGGCGGGUUCACAGGUGGUGCAUGGUCGUCGUCAGCUCGUGUCGUGAGAUGUUGGGUUAAGUCCCGCAACGAGCGCAACCCUCGCCCUGUGUUGCCAGCACGUCGUGGUGGGAACUCACGGGGGACCGCCGGGGUCAACUCGGAGGAAGGUGGGGAUGACGUCAGAUCAUCAUGCCCCUUACGUCCAGGGCUUCACGCAUGCUACAAUGGCCGGUACAACGGGAUGCGAC
rnacentral:rRNA from 1 species